rnacentral:rRNA from 1 species
UACGUAGGGUGCGAGCGUUGUCCGGAAUUAUUGGGCGUAAAGAGCUCGUAGGCGGUCUGUCGCGUCGGCUGUGAAAACUUGGGGCUCAACCCCAAGCCUGCAGUCGAUACGGGCAGACUAGAGUGUGGUAGGGGAGACUGGAAUUCCUGGUGUAGCGGUGAAAUGCGCAGAUAUCAGGAGGAACACCGGUGGCGAAGGCGGGUCUCUGGGCCAUAACUGACGCUGAGGAGCGAAAGCGUGGGGAGCGAACAGG